CGCGUAGGCGGCCUGAUAAGUAGGGGGUGAAAUCCUGCGGCUUAACUGCAGGGCUGCCUCCUAGACUGUCUGGCUCGAGCACGGUAGAGGCAGAUGGAAUUCCCGGUGUAGCGGUGGAAUGCGUAGAGAUCGGGAAGAACAUCGGUGGCGAAGGCGGUCUGCUGGGCCGUUGCUGACGCUGAGGCGCGACAGCGUGGGGAGCAAACA
rnacentral:rRNA from 1 species